CAUAUCAAUAAGCGGAGGAAAAGAAACUAACAAGGAUUCCCCUAGUAACUGCGAGUGAAGCGGGAAAAGCUCAAAUUUAAAAUCUGGCAGUCUAUGGCUGUCCGAGUUGUAAUCUAGAGAAGCGUUAUCCGCGCUGGACCGUGUACAAGUCUCCUGGAAUGGAGCGUCAUAGAGGGUGAGAAUCCCGUCUUUGACACGGACUACCAGGGCUUUGUGAUGCGCUCUCAAAGAGUCGAGUUGUUUGGGAAUGCAGCUCAAAAUGGGUGGUAAAUUCCAUCUAAAGCUAAAUAUUGGCGAGAGACCGAUAGCGAACAAGUACCGUGAGGGAAAGAUGAAAAGAACUUUGGAAAGAGAGUUAAACAGUACGUGAAAUUGCUGAAAGGGAAACGCUUGAAGUCAGUCGCGUUGUCCAGGGAUCAACCUUGCUUUUGCUUGGUGCACUUUCUGGUUGACGGGUCAGCAUCAAUUUUGACUAUUGGAAAAAGAUUAGGGGAAUGUGGCAUCUUUGGAUGUGUUAUAGCCCUUAGUUGCAUACAAUGGUUGGGAUUGAGGAACUCAGCACGCCGCAAGGCCGGGUUUUUAACCACGUACGUGCUUAGGAUGCUGGCAUAAUGGCUUUAAUCGACCCGUCUUGAAACACGGACCAAGGAGUCUAACAUGCCUGCGAGUGUUUGGGUGGAAAACCCGAGCGCGUAAUGAAAGUGAAAGUUGAGAUCCCUGUCGUGGGGAGCAUCGACGCCCGGACCAGACCUUUUGUGACGGUUCCGCGGUAGAGCAUGUAUGUUGGGACCCGAAAGAUGGUGAACUAUGCCUGAAUAGGGUGAAGCCAGAGGAAACUCUGGUGGAGGCUCGUAGCGAUUCUGACGUGCAAAUCGAUCGUCAAAUUUGGGUAUAGGGGCGAAAGACUAAU
rnacentral:rRNA from 1 species